UGCCCAACACUCAAAAGGUGCUGGCACUGGACUUGAAGUUUUCAGCAGAUGGGCAAGCAGAUGGGCUUCUGCUCAAGAUGGAUCCGGAGACGGGCACACGCCUAUCCUGCAGCCCUGUAUAUCUU